UUUGCAUUUAGACUGACUGAGAGCUAUCAGUUUGUCCUUUCGAGAAAAAUAAAAGGCCAACACCAUGGUCAAAAAAGGGUUUUUGUUGACCAUUCUCAAACUUGCCACUACUCGUGUAUCAUCCAAGCUAUCAUGUGUGUUGAUGGAAAGCGAUCUAUUUGCAUUUAGACUGACUGAGAGCUAUCAGAUUGUCCUUUCGAGAAAAAUAAAAGGCCAACACCAUGGUCAAAAAAGGGUUUUUGUUGACCCCUUGGUUGCUACAUAUUCAAUCCUCAUAUCCUUGGAAUGGACCCACUCUUAUUUAGAGGUUAAUCCCUCGCCACUAUUCAAUAGACGGAAUCCGUUGGUGGAAGCUGACGAAAGAUUAGUUUGCUGAUAUUCAGCAAUCCAACCGAAGGCCUUUCAACUUCAUUCUUUGCUGACUCUUUUUACGUUUUACGUUUUGAUCUUUCGAUUGUUUGCUGACGUCUAACGUUUUUAUUUGAAAAUAAUUUCUCCGUUUUGUUUUGUUCAAAAGUGUAACAUUAUAUUGAACUUGUCUUUUUUAACAAUAAAUACAAUGGACCAAUAAA